UCUCCUGCGCCCACACUGGCUGGAGGUGUCCAGGGACAUCACCGGACCGCAGGCAGCCCCCUCUGCCUUCCCACACCAGGAGCUGCCCCGGGCUCUGCCGGCAGCUGCAGCCACCGCAGGGUGCGCUGGCCUCGAGGCCACCUAUUCCAACGUGGGGCUGGCGACCCCUCCCUGCCUCCCUGCCCUGAACACUCAAGGACCUGUGCUCCUUCCUCCAGAGUGAGGCCCGUCCCCCGCCCCGCCCCGCCUCACAGCUGACAGCGCCAGUCCCAGGUCCCCGGGCUGCCAGCCCGUGAGGUCCGUGAGGUCCUGGCCGCUCUGACAGCCGCGGCCUCCCCGGGCUCCAGAGAAGGCCCGCGUCUAAAUAAAGCGCCAGCGCAGGAUGAAAGCG
rnacentral:lncRNA from 1 species